AGAGUUUGAUCCUGGCUCAGAUUGAACGCUGGCGGCAUGCUUUACACAUGCAAGUCGAGCGGCAGCGCGGGGGCAACCCUGGCGGCGAGCGGCGAACGGGUGAGGAAUACAUCGGAACGUACCCCGGAGUGGGGGAUAACGCCGCGAAAGCGGCGCUAAUACCGCAUAUGCUCUGUGGAGGAAAGUGGGGGACCCUGUAAGGGGCCUCACGCUCUGGGCGCGGCCGAUGUCCGAUUAGCUAGUUGGUGAGGUAAUGGCUCACCAAGGCGACGAUCGGUAGCUGGUCUGAGAGGAUGAUCAGCCACACUGGGACUGAGACACGGCCCAGACUCCUACGGGAGGCAGCAGUGGGGAAUUUUGGACAAUGGGGGCAACCCUGAUCCAGCCAUGCCGCGUGCGGGAAGAAGGCCUUCGGGUUGUAAACCGCUUUUAGUCGGGAAGAAAAGAUCAAGCCGAAUAAGCUUGGUUCUUGACGGUACCGGCUGAAUAAGAC
rnacentral:rRNA from 1 species